UGGAGUCAUCAGACUUGGGUUGCCCCAGGUACAUGUAUGCCCAGGUUACUUGCUGCUCUACAUGUGACCUUGCCAUACAUGUUCCUGUUGCAUACCUCUCCUGUAGUUCACUGG
rnacentral:precursor_RNA from 15 species